rnacentral:rRNA from 1 species
UGGUAUCUUCGUCGUAGAGUCAUUCUUACUAAAGUUAACCUUAUUAAGAGGAAUUGGCAUGGAAGUUUGCAAUGUGUGUUUUGUCAUCAUGAUGAGACAAUAAAACAUUUAUUCUUCCAAUGCAAAUUGGCUCACUCUACAUGGUCAGUCAUCAAAAUAGCUUCUGUCUUGUAUCCUCCUUGUAGUGUUGCUAAUGUAUUUGACAACUGGUUACAUGAGACUGAUCACAGGUUUAGAACUCUUAUCAGGGCGGGAGCGCUUGUCGUUAUUUGGUCACUUUAG